rnacentral:rRNA from 1 species
CCUGGCUCAGGAUGAACGCUGGCGGCGUGCUAACACAUGCAAGUACGACGGAAGUUAACAUUUUAUAGCAAAUAGCUUGCUAGGAGUGGAGAAGGUGGUUAACUUAGUGGCGGACGGGUGAGUAACGCGUGGGUAACCUGCCGUAUGCAGGGGGAGUAACAACUUAGAAAUAGGUAGCUAACACCGCAUAAGCGCACGAGAGCGCAUGCUUUUGUGUGAAAAACUCCGGUGGCAUACGAUGGACCCGCGUCUGAUUAGCCAGUUGGCAGGGUAACGGCCUACCAAAGCGACGAUCAGUAGCCGGCCUGAGAGGGCGGACGGGCCACAUUGGGACUGAGACACGGCCCAAACUCCUACGGGAGGCAGCAGUGGGGGAUAUUGCACAAUGGGGGAAACCCUGAUGCAGCGACGCCGCGUGAGUGAAGAAGUAUUUCGGUAUGUAAAGCUCUAUCAGCAGGGAAGAAGAUGACAGUACCUGAGUAAGAAGCCCCGGCUAACUACGUG